GACGAACGCUGGCGGCGUGCUUAACACAUGCAAGUCGAACGGAAAGGCCUCUUUCGGGGGGUACUCGAGUGGCGAACGGGUGAGUAACACGUGUGUAACCUGCCCUUGACUUUGGGAUAACUUCAGGAAACUGGGGCUAAUACCGGAUAGGAGCUCCUGCUGCAUGGUGGGGGUUGGAAAGUUUCGGCGGUUGGGGAUGGACUCGCGGCUUAUCAGCUUGUUGGUGGGGUAGUGGCUUACCAAGGCUUUGACGGGUAGCCGGCCUGAGAGGGUGACCGGCCACAUUGGGACUGAGAUACGGCCCAGACUCCUACGGGAGGCAGCAGUGGGGAAUAUUGCACAAUGGGUGGAAGCCUGAUGCAGCAACGCCGGGUGCGGGAUGACGGCCUUCGGGUUGUAAACCGCUUUCGCUCAUGACGAAGCUUUGCGUGACGGUAGUGGGUAAAGAAGCACCGGCUAACUACGUG
rnacentral:rRNA from 1 species